rnacentral:rRNA from 1 species
AUUGAACGCUGGCGGCAUGCUUUACACAUGCAAGUCGAACGGCAGCGGGGGCUUCGGCCUGCCGGCGAGUGGCGAACGGGUGAGUAAUGCAUCGGAACGUGCCCAGUCAUGGGGGAUAACUACGCGAAAGCGUAGCUAAUACCGCAUACGCCCUGAGGGGGAAAGUGGGGGAUCUUCGGACCUCACGUGAUUGGAGCGGCCGAUGUCAGAUUAGCUAGUUGGUGAGGUAAAGGCUCACCAAGGCGACGAUCUGUAGCGGGUCUGAGAGGAUGAUCCGCCACACUGGGACUGAGACACGGCCCAGACUCCUACGGGAGGCAGCAGUGGGGAAUUUUGGACAAUGGCGCAAGCCUGAUCCAGCCAUGCCGCGUGAGUG